rnacentral:rRNA from 1 species
CGGGUGAGUAAUGCAUCGGAACGUACCUUUCAGUGGGGGAUAACGUAGCGAAAGUUACGCUAAUACCGCAUAUUCUGUGAGCAGGAAAGCAGGGGAUCGCAAGACCUUGCGCUGACGGAGCGGCCGAUGUCAGAUUAGCUAGUUGGUGGGGUAAAGGCUCACCAAGGCGACGAUCUGUAGCGGGUCUUAGAGGAUGAUCCGCCACACUGGAACUGAGACACGGUCCAGACUCCUACGGGAGGCAGCAGUGGGGAAUUUUGGACAAUGGGCGCAAGCCUGAUCCAGCCAUGCCGCGUGAGUGAAGAAGGCCUUCGGGUUGUAAAGCUCUUUCGGCCGGGAAAAAAUCGCUUGGGUUAAUACCCUGAGUGGAUGAUGGUACCGGAAUAAGAAGCACCGGCUAACUACGUGCCAGCAGCCGCGGUAAUACGUAGGGUGCGAGCGUUAAUCGGAAUUACUGGGCGUAAAGCGUGCGCAGGCGGUUUUGUAAGACAGGCGUGAAAUCCCCGGGCUCAACCUGGGAACUGCGUUUGUGACUGCAAGGCUAGAGUAUGGCAGAGGGGGGUGGAAUUCCACGUGUAGCAGUGAAAUGCGUAGAGAUGUGGAGGAACACCAAUGGCGAAGGCAGCCCCCUGGGCCAAUACUGACGCUCAUGCACGAAAGCGUGGGAGCAAACAGGAUUAGAUACCCUGGUAGUCCACGCCCUAAACGAUGUCAACUAGGUGUUGGGUGGGUAAAACCAUUUGGUACCGUAGCUAACGCGUGAAGUUGACCGCCUGGGGAGUACGGCCGCAAGGUUAAAACUCAAAGGAAUUGACGGGGACCCGCACAAGCGGUGGAUGAUGUGGAUUAAUUCGAUGCAACGCGAAAAACCUUACCUACCCUUGACAUGCCAAGAACUUGCCAGAGAUGGCUUGGUGCCCGAAAGGGAGCCUGGACACAGGUGCUGCAUGGCUGUCGUCAGCUCGUGUCGUGAGAUGUUGGGUUAAGUCCCGCAACGAGCGCAACCCUUGUCGUUAAUUGCCAUCAUUUAGUUGGGCACUUUAACGAGACUGCCGGUGACAAACCGGAGGAAGGUGGGGAUGACGUCAAGUCCUCAUGGCCCUUAUGGGUAGGGCUUCACACGUCAUACAAUGGUCGGUACAAAGGGUUGCCAAGCCGCGAGGCGGAGCCAAUCCCAGAAAGCCGAUCGUAGUCCGGAUCGCAGGCUGCAACUCGCCUGCGUGAAGUCGGAAUCGCUAGUAAUCGUGGAUCAGCAUGUCACGGUGAAUACGUUCCCGGGUCUUGUACACACCGCCCGUCACACCAUGGGAGCGGGUUCCGCCAGAAGUAGGUAGCCUAACCGCAAGGAGGGCGCUUACCACGGCGGGGUUCGUGACUGGGGUGAAGUCGG